CGGGAUCAGAAUGUGCUCUACGGAUAUUGCAUCUUGAAUGAUCAAUUCCUCUUACAAUUGUAUAUCUACCUCGUACUUUCUCCUCCGUUCCUAAAUAGCCUAGCAGUCCAACAACCUAUAUAUUUACGGUUAUAUAUCAUAUCUUCCAUCCAGCGGAAACCCAAGAAAAUGGCUCCCGCAAUCCGCAUCAUCGGUUCCCUAAACGUCGACAUGGUCUCCGUGACCCCGCGCUUUCCAUCCCCCGGCGAAACCCUCACCUCAACCUCCUUCAGCAUCCACGCCGGCGGCAAAGGUGCCAACCAAGCUGUAGCAUGCGGCCGCCUCUCCCGCCCCAAACCCACCACCACCACCACCACCAUUACACCAUCAUCAACAGCAGCCGCAGCAGCAGGGACCUCCCCACCAGCCACAGACCCCACAUCCAUCCACGUCGAAAUGCUCGGCGCCACCGGCCAGCUAGACGCCUACUUCCGCACCCACCUGCAACCGACCCUGCACGGUGCCGGCGUCCACACGGCCCGCAUUCGCCAGACCGCGGAUGCCCACACCGGCGUCGCCGUGAUCAUCGUCGACAGCGCCGCCGGCGGCGAGAACCGCAUCCUCUACUGCCCCGG
rnacentral:sRNA from 1 species